rnacentral:tRNA from 1 species
GGGGAUGUAGCUCAGUGGUAGAGCGCUAGCUUUGCAUGCGAGAGGCCCCGGGUUCGAUCCCCGGCAUCUCCA